GUGAGCCCCAAAUCCCAUGACUGAAGUCUCUAUAAGAGGAGAGGACAUACAGAGAACAUCGUGUGAAGAUGGAGGCAGAGAUUGGAAUGACGCAGCUACAAGGCAAGGAACACCCAGCGGAGCCUUCAGAGAAGGAUGGCCUUGCCAGCACCUUGACUUCAGGCGUCUAGCCUCCAGGACUGUGAGGGAGUGCAUUUCUGUUGUCUUCAGCCGCCAGUUUGUGGGUGAAGAGCAAAAGAAAUGGCCCAGGAGAUGAUGCCUGAGGACACAUCUCACUAGCUCCCCCACAACUCGCUUGUCAGGCUCUGUUGAAAUGCUUCACUCAUAUGCCUCACAAGGAAUCCUGCAGGGCAGCUGUCAGCCUGGGUCCCCCACGUGCAGAGACUUUCAUCAGCAGCUUCUUUAGGGAAGAGAUCCCUGGGAAGAGCAAUGGUGGGGACGGGGGCUGGGAAGAGAGAGACAGGAAAGGAGAAAGGCCCUUCCAAGACUUCUUAAUUGAGCUGAUUACCUGUGGGGGCAACUGAGGUUCAGUCCUGCCAGGGGACACCUGCGAACCGUGCAAAAUGCAGCAGACCAAGGAAGGGGCAUGGCUCUGAUGGCAAAGAGCCUGAGCGGAUAGCAAGGGAGGCCAGGCGGUGUCUGGUCACAUCUGCUGUGGCAACCAGGAGGUGCAAUAGUCACAGAACGGAGCACUGAGAGCUGAGGAUGAGAGUGAGCGGUCUGCCAGCCCCCCUGAGCACCCCCUAUUUUCCACUCUAAAGAGCACCUCUGUUGCAUGGCUCUCUAGCCUUGGCUCAGAGGACCUCAGCAUCAUUUCCAAAAACCAAACCCAUCCUGGAAUAACAAAUACCCGCUUCUCUGUGGAUUCUCAAAGGCAUGUGCUAUCGGCCACUGGAUGCACCAGACGUGAUUUUUUUUUUUUUAAUAGAAGGCAUUUUAAGCCAAGCCUGGCACGCGGGGAACCAUCAGGCCGUGCGUUGCUGUUCAGGUCAACGCUGAGGAGUGACUGUAAAGUGAGGCGUCAGGCUGAUGUAAACCGACUCUGACGGCAGUGCCCAAAGGGAGCUUAAGAGAUGCCCUGAGUCAUGGUGGUGUUGCUGGAACCAGUGUACUGCCGAACUGGGGACUUUUCACGGGACAAAGUCACUCCUAUGUAAAGAUGAUAAUGUAGGCAGAGAGGCCUCCACCCCAUGUGAGGGGAACACAGAGUGCCCGGGUCUCUCCUCGGAGCAAAUACUCAAGCCUUUCCCCAGCCAGUCCCUCCUCGGUGUGUCCAGGGUUCCACGGUACUUUCCUUCUUAAAGGAAACCUGGAGCUGGUGCUCCACAGGUGCUGGCAGCAGUGUGCCCUGCAGCAGAGGACAUCCAGGUGGCUGCCCCCAACCAGCACCAUGCUUGUGGAAGGAAAGAUCACCUUGUGAACCAAGGAACAAGCUCUUUAUGAACCAAGCUGCCCCUGAAGCUCAGACCAAAGUCCCGAGACAGAAGGGGACUGGCCUAGGCCCCAGCUGAUGCCACCAUCCGGGUGGGGAGCCCCUUCAGGGAAGAGCAGCUCCUCAGAGGCGUGCUCAGAUCAGCAAAGCCCUGUGGACCCACGAGGCCUGAGCACAAGGAGCUGAAGCUGCUGCCAUCACCAGCCACCUCCGAGUGCAAGCUGGCCUGGGAGCACUGGGGCCCCCUUACCUCCAAAGCCCGGGCCACCUUCUCCCCACCUGUCUAAUGUUCGACAACUCCAAGGAGCGAGGCUGCUUUUCUCUAAAUCCUCAAUACCAAAGAGUCUGGUUCACUCCUCUUCUGGACGAACGGAGAAGGUGAUGCAAAGAGAGCAGAGCUUGGCGUCAUGCAACCACAAGCCAAGGAACGCCUGGAGCCGCCAGAGGCUGGAAGAGGCCCCUCCUCUAGGGCCUUCGCAGGGAGCACGGCUCUGCCGACGCCUCGACCGCAGACCUCUGGCCUCCGUGACCGCGAGAGGACGUGUUCCUGUGGUUUUAAGUCACGCGGUGUGCGGUAAUUUGUUACAGUCCUAGGAAACUGUUACAACCACUUAGUAAACAAGGCCCAAAUAAAAAGUGCUCAGACCUGGGGACACAGCAAGACGAUGAGACAGGCGCGCAGAUGGUUCAAAGCUCUGCUUCCCAGACGGGAGUCACAGAUCCCAGAGUUCUGGUGACCGCACAGCCUGGCUUCCUGGAAUAUGGAUUUACUCAGAGUCUGAGGAGAAAGUCGAGUAAUUUAACUAAUAAAUAAUUUAAAACAAAGAGGCAUGUAUUGUGGGGCGGAAUGCCAGUUGUGCCUGCGUUUUCUUCAGAUGAGAAAGGAGCUUCAAGGAGAAGCUGCAGUUGUUUGGGGGUUAUGCCCCCCGACUCCUCCAGGAUCCCCACCACCUUGGGGUGUCCACCUGCACCCCCAUGGGGAGAUGGAUUGCCCAAAAGAAAAAUCCAAAGUGAUGGGGGCAAUUCCUCAGACGUCUCACAAGCCGGCUCAGCCGCUGGAACCUGCUGGGCUUCCCGGAAGCUGCUCCUUGGCCCGAAGACUCUCAGGACAGCGAGGCAGCAGCAUCACCAAGGAGAGGCCAAGAGGGAGCCUCAUGGGACCUGGGACCCUGGAGCAUGAGCCGUGGCGCCAGAUGUGGUCCCCAGGAAAGGCCCAUGUUCCCGUUUAAAAAUGGCCCAUUGCAACAUCAAGAGAUGCACGGGACAAAUGACUCUCACAGGAGAAAAUGAGAUUGGCCCCUCAUAGCCUGAAGGACUUACUGGAACGGGGCCUUUUAGCUUGUUUCGGGGAGGG
rnacentral:lncRNA from 1 species